AGAUCUGUUCAUAGAUCGUGAACAGGGUAAAUUAAAAAAAGCUCACCGAGA
rnacentral:ncRNA from 1 species